rnacentral:rRNA from 1 species
CCUACGGGAGGCAGCAGUAGGGAAUCUUCCACAAUGGGCGAAAGCCUGAUGGAGCAACGCCGCGUGGGUGAAGAAGGUCUUCGGAUCGUAAAACCCUGUUGUUAGAGAAGAAAGUGCGUGAGAGAAACUGUUCACGUUUCGACGGUAUCUAACUAGAAAGCCACGGCUAACUACGUGCCAGCAGCCGCGGUAAUACGUAGGUGGCAAGCGUUAUCCGGAUUUACUGGGCGUAAAGGGAACGCUGGCGGUCUUUUAAGUCUGAUGUGAAAGCCUUCGGCUUAAACGGGGUAGUGCAUUGGAAACUGUGAGACUUGAGUGCAGAAGAGGAUAGUGGAACUCCAUGUGUAGCGGUGAAAUGCGUAGAUAUAUGGAAGAACACCAGUGGCGAAGGCGGCUCUCUGGUCUGUAACUGACGCUGAGGUUCGAAAGCGUGGGUAGCAAACAGGAUAAGAUACCCGAGUAGUC